rnacentral:lncRNA from 1 species
AUGCUUUAUAGCUGGAUUAAUUCAGGUUAUAUGCUUAUACUAAAUUAAUAGUGUUAUUUGGCCAAGUUAUUUACUUUGCCCUUAUUCUUCAGAUUCUGAUGGCUUCAUUCCACAUUAUUGGUUUGUAUAAUAGGAUGUUGCUACAAUGACAAAUUCUUGCCUUUGUUGAAUCUUUAAAAUAUUUUUUGUUAUUUAUUUGGAGUAUUUAUCCAAUAAAUUUCACAAAAUUGUACUCAUGAACAGUAUUUGUUCUAGCCUCACCUUUCUGAUUUCUAUGAAGGCUAUUUUCUCUUAACACAGUUUUUAUUUUGUCACUUGCUUUCCUACUCAGCAGUCACAUUUCAGUUUGUCCUUUGGUUUUCUACUCACCAGUCAUUCUUUAACUUGACUAUUGAUUUCUCACAGCAAAAUGCCUCAAGUGCUUGUUAGAAAGCCUGACAAAUAACUUCCAUAAUGAAUUACUUUCCUUGUCACCCAAGUAAUGUCUUCAAAGACACUAAGUUAAACCAUUCAGGUUAAAUACACAUUAAAGCUGGCGAACUUAAACAAACAUUGCUUAUCUAGCUUCUAUACUAUUAGCUGACUUUU